UAUGUGGGGUCCCUGGGAGUGGGCACCCCCUGUCCACUCCUGCCACUGGACUUACCAAGUGCUCACCCAUGCUCUCUGUUCCUCUGGGCUGGUGUAGGAUUCCACGUGGCCACAAAAGAGGCAGCAUGCUAUCAACUGUGAGAGAAGAGGGGCUGUUCCCUGGGGCUGAGGAGGGCAAGACCAAGGUCCGCCCAGAGGAGACAGCCUAGCAUGUUCAGGGAAGAACUGACAGACUUAGGGGCACCUUGGAGAUCCUGCCCAGGCUGACCAGGGCUUGGGCAACAUGUGGGUGAGAGGUCACAGGAGGGGCUGCAGAGGUAGACAGUGAAGAACCGUAAAUGUUAAACGGAGAGAGGCAAGUUCAGAAAGGCUUCUGCGAUCCUUGCCACAAUCCCAUGAAUUAUUUUCAUGUCCUCAGUUGGCAGAUGAGCUACAGCUCAGAGAGGUUGAGUGAGUUGCCCCAGGUCACGUGGCUAAUGAAUGGCAUGGACAGGAUUCAAAUCUGCUCCCUUGGUUCUGAAGCCCAAGCUCUUUACCCAGCUUGAUGCAGGUGGGUGGAAUUCGUGGGUUGGAUGAGAAGCCCAGGCCAGGCCAUUUCCUGCAGCCCCUCUCAGUUUCCCUGUUCAUAGAUACUGGCUUCCCUGUCUACGUGUACAAAUUGAGCACCACACUCCCAGCAUCAUUACCAAUCCCGCACUGAUGGUGCAGACCAUGGGGAUGAGAUCGGCUUCAUCUUCUGGAGGCCCUUCUCCAAAGGGGCUACAGCCCCACCUGCCACCCACGCUGGACUUCCAGUCUCCCCACCUUUGUAUUCUGACCCACCUUCCAUUGCUGAUCACAUGUCAGCACCCCAUGCUCUGUUCCAAACGCCACAUUCCAUUCUGCCUCCAGGAAGGAGAAGGUGCUGAGCCUCUGGAUGAUGAAAUACUGGGCCAACUCUGCCAGCACAGGGUGACCAGUACAUCUACAGUACUCAGCAUGUCUGGAAAAGAAUAAUUUUCUGAAGAGUGAGGAUGCAAUCAUAUCUGAACAACAAACUCUCAGUUGUGGGACCAACAUAGCACGGAAACAGCCUCCAGGUGUUAGCUUUGUUUUCCCGCCAUGCCCACAUGCAAGUGCUGCAGUGACAACACCGGAUCCUUGACCUCCUGCACCACAAGGGAAUCUAACAUGGAACCCAUUAUUCUGGGCAGCACACACCUCCCUCUCGCAGCACCCAGAUGCGGCAGGCAGAAGAGCUGCUGCAGGACACACCUCCAGAGGGCACCACUUACCCGUUUUAUGGUGUGAAUGAACCCUGGGAUGUAACCUGAGCUCCAUGCCCUACCUCCUCUGCAUAUGCCACCUACCUGCACACUUAGACCUCCCAGGCCUCAGAGAAGGCUCUGGUGGAACCUCUUGGGUACCACCUACCACAAAGCAUCCACGUUAGGCAAUCUUUGCCACCCCUUUCUCUUCUCCAGCCUAUCCAUGGCUUCCUUCAGCUCCCAGAGCUGGUCCAGUCCCCCAGCCAUCCAGGUCAUCUGAUGCUAAGCAGCAGGAUCCUUUGAAGGGGCUAUGGGUAUAGCCUCAGGCCCCAGAGCCCCAGGGGAUCCCUUUCAGGGCCACACUGAUCCUGGCACUGCCACUGUCCCUGGCUCAGCUACAGAAGGAGGGACACAGCAGGCACUUACCCUCUGCUGUAGAAGAGCAGGAACACCCAGCCCUGCUCAGCCAGCUUCCUUUUUCAGGUCUGUCUGAGCUCAUUUUAUGGUAUUUUGUUUGGACUCAAGUUGCAUGGACUCAGAUUGUUAUCCAGUUCUUCCCUUGACUGCCAACAUUUACAGUUGGAGUUGCAUCAGAGUAUAGAGUUGUACAAAUCCUAGAAUUGCAGAGCUAGAAGGAAACUUAAAGAUCAUUAUAGCCACCAUUCUUUGAGAGUUUAUAACUUUGUGCCAAACAUUAACUUUAUGCAGAUGUUUUUGCCUGCCUAGUGCAAACUUUCCUUUUCCUGUGA
ensembl:lncRNA